GUGCAUUUUCUCGUAUUCACAGACAUUGGACCGCUGAUGAGGGAAAGACAACGAGCGAGACGACGCUGGCGUGCGGUUCUCUAUUCAGGGUGGUGAAAAGAAGGAGGAAUGUCUUCAAUUCAUACAAAAUGUGAAAGGAUGCAGUGAAAUACAGCAACGGAGACUAUUCUGGGAGGACCCAGCAACUCCCAUCCUGGCCCAUUUCCCUGGAUUCGUUUCAGUUCGAUCCUGAAUAGAUCACUGCCCUCUGACCCGUGUUCUUACCGACGUGCUUUUUUUCAGAGAAACUUUCUGACUGGCCAGAAACGUUUCCUCUGUUACUCAUCACAGCAAAAACUCUGUUAGAGUAAUGUUUCAGUAGGUCUUCUGUUACCCAUAUACCGGAGUUUUGUUAUUAAUGGGAAGGUAGUGCUUAAUUAGGAAAAAAAAAAAUCAGCAGGGCAUAUGAACUGAUGAUAGAAAUAAAGAUAAAGGCAUAAAAUAUGUUGUCAAAA